AUGUUUCCCGAGAGAGACUGCCUUCUCUCAGGCCAGCAGUCUUAUACUUAUAGUCGACUACUCUAUGACGAUAUUACCUCUUUCCUGGGCUCUGCUUGCUUGUCUACGCUCUGACCAAUUCAUUCUAAAUCGGAAAAAAUGAUGUUUCCUUGA
rnacentral:rRNA from 1 species